GAUGAACGCUGGCGGCGUGCCUAAUACAUGCAAGUCGAGCGAACAGACGAGGAGCUUGCUCCUCUGACGUUAGCGGCGGACGGGUGAGUAACACGUGGAUAACCUACCUAUAAGACUGGGAUGACUUCGGGAAACCGGAGCUAAUACCGGAUAAUAUAUUGAACCGCAUGGUUCAAUAGUGAAAGACGGUUUUGCUGUCACUUAUAGAUGGAUCCGCGCCGCAUUAGCUAGUUGGUAAGGUAAAGGCUUACCAAGGCAACGAUGCGUAGCCGACCUGAGAGGGGGAUCGCCCACACUGGAACUGAGACACGGUCCAGACUCCUACGGGAGGCAGCAGUAGCGAAUCUUCCGCAAUGGGCGAAAGCCUGACGGAGCGACGCCGCGUGAGUGAUGAAGGUCUUCGGAUCGUAAAACUCUGUUAUGAGGUAAGAACAAAUGUGUAAGUAACUAUGCACGUCUUGACGGUACCUAAUCAGAAAGCCACGGCUAACUACGUG
rnacentral:rRNA from 1 species